rnacentral:rRNA from 1 species
UACGUAGGGUGCAAGCGUUGUCCGGAAUUAUUGGGCGUAAAGAGCUCGUAGGCGGUCUGUCACGUCGGCUGUGAAAACCCGAGGCUCAACCUCGGGCCUGCAGUCGAUACGGGCAAACUAGAGUACUGCAGGGGAGACUGGAAUUCCUGGUGUAGCGGUGAAAUGCGCAGAUAUCGGGAGGAACACCUAUGGCGAAGGCAGCUCGCUGGGACGUUACUGACGCUGAGACGCGAAAGCGUGGGGAGCAAACAGG